GCACGGGUGAGUAACACGUGACUAACCUACCCUUGAGUGGGGGAUAACUGAGGGAAACCUUAGCUAAUACCGCAUAAUACCUACGGGUCAAAGGAGCAAUUCGCUUAAGGAGGGGGUCGCGGUCGAUUAGUUAGUUGGCGGGGUAAUGGCCCACCAAGACUGUGAUCGAUAUCCGGCCUGAGAGGGCGCACGGACACACUGGAACUGAAACACGGUCCAGACUCCUACGGGAGGCAGCAGUGGGGAAUUUUGCGCAAUGGGGGAAACCCUGACGCAGCAACGCCGCGUGGAGGAUGAAGUACUUCGGUACGUAAACUCCUUUCGACCGGGACGAUAAUGACGGUACCGGUAGAAGAAGCCCCGGCUAACUCUGUGCCAGCAGCCGCGGUAAUACAGAGGGGGCAAGCGUUGUUCGGAAUUAUUGGGCGUAAAGGGUGCGUAGGCGGUGCGGUAAGUCUUUUGUGAAAUCUCCGGGCUCAACUCGGAGUCUGCAGGAGAAACUGCCGUGCUUGAGUAUGGGAGAGGUGAGUGGAAUUCCUGGUGUAGCGGUGAAAUGCGUAGAUAUCAGGAGGAACACCUGUG
rnacentral:rRNA from 1 species